rnacentral:tRNA from 1 species
AUUUAUAUAGUUUAAAAUAAAACAUUACAUUUUCAAUGUAAAAAUAAUUACAUCAAAAUUUAUAAAUA